UCAAAUGUAAACCCAGAAAAGAAAUAGUAUCGUAGUAUCACACUGUAUUACCUUUUGUGUAAAAUCACUAGUAGUUCCAGGAAAGAAGGAAGCUAAACAAAUACCACUCUAUCAAUAAGUGAAGGGGGAAAAGUUAGAGAACAAAAAUUGCCCUAUAAUAAGCUUAUUCUCCCAUUAGUAAUGU